rnacentral:lncRNA from 1 species
UGUAAUCUCAGCACUUAGGUAGGCCAAAGUGAGUGGAUCACUUGAGCUCAAGAGUUUGAGACCAGUCUGGGAAACACAGCGAAACCCCUUCUCUAAAACAAAACGAAACAAAAAAUAAAAGCAAACAAACAAAUUAUUUCACCUGAAAUUCUACACCCUCCAUGAUAUGACUCUGCCCCAACCUGCUUUUCCAUGUUAUCUUCCAUUACUUUCCCAGCUGUAUCUGAUGCUCUAGGGAAAGCCUGAUGCUUCCCAAGGAUCUUGAUACCUUUUCCCACCUCUGCUCAAGAUGUCCCUUCCAUUAGAAUGCUGUCUCCUGCUACUCCCCAGCUACAGGAACCCCAGGCCACCUGUCAGGUCUUGCUCAGAUGCUACCUUCUUCAGAUAGUCUUGUUUCUCUCCAGUAAGUGCACUAGGAACAGAGUGUGGAUUCUGCUUUGCAAGACCUUUUAUUCCCUUUCUUCACUGCUCUGUCCUGUCACCCAUUCCCCUCCCCUAUCACAUACUUUCUCCAGUCUUGAAGAAACCUCCAGUUGUGGCGUGAUGAGUAGGCUCUUCCUGUGCUAUGGAGGGGUACCUGGAACCUAGAAGGCACUCAACACGUAUUUGUGAUAAAUGGUCAGAUGGGUGGAGAAAUGAACAAAUCCUCCAUUUAAAGGCUUCUACUGCCACUAUAGUAACCAUGUGUAGUGGCGCAAUCUCAGCUCACUUUCAGCCUCGACCUCCCAGGCUCAAGUGAUCCUCCUGCCUCAGCCUCCUGAGUAGCUGGGACUACAGGUGCACACCACUACACCUGGCUACUUUUUUCUAUUUGUUGUAGAGAUGGGGUCUCCCUAUGUUGCCCGGGCUGGUUUGAGAAAGCCUUUGAAUUUCUAACUUGACUCUGCCAUAGACAGCAGACAACCUGUGACCACUAACCCCUUCAAGGAUUACUCUGUGGCGAAGUCAUGUUGCCCACGUUCACACCCCUUCCUGGGAUAACCUGCAGUCAAUGAAUGAUCAGUGCCAGAGUAUAAAUGUCUGGUCAUCUUCACCCAACUCCAGGAACUCUAGAAGGUCAUUCCAGCUCCUGGACUUCUCCUGGGUUCAGCCUAGGCUGUCUGCUUUUGGCUUGAGUCCUCCCUCUGCAUCUUCGGCUCCCUUCCUCUCCUUCUUCAAGUGUUGAUCUGUACAUCAUCCCCUAAUAAAUAUUUU